rnacentral:tRNA from 1 species
GCCUGGGUGGCUCAGUCGGUGAAGCGUCUGACUUCGGCUCAGGUCACGAUCUCGCGGUCCGUGAGUUCGAACCCCGCGUCGGGCU